rnacentral:rRNA from 1 species
UACGGAGGAUGCGAGCGUUAUCCGGAUUUAUUGGGUUUAAAGGGUGCGUAGGCGGUCGGAUAAGUUAGAGGUGAAAUCCCGAGGCUCAACUUCGGAAUUGCCUCUGAUACUGUUCGGCUAGAGAGUAGUUGCGGUAGGCGGAAUGUAUGGUGUAGCGGUGAAAUGCAUAGAUAUCACACAGAACACCGAUUGCGAAGGCAUCUCACGAAUCCGCUAUUGACGCUGAUGCACGAAAGCGUGGGGAUCGAACAGG